rnacentral:lncRNA from 1 species
ACAGUACAGCACAGUGGAGCGCCUCACAGUACAGCACAGUGGAGCACCUCACAGUACAGCCCAGUGGAGUGCCUCACAGUACAGCCCAGUGGAGUGCCUCACAGUACAGUCCAGUGGAGUGCCUCACAGUACAGCACAGUGGAGCACCUCACAGAGCCUCACAGUACAGCACAGUGGAGCGCCUCACAGUACAGCACAGUGGAGUGCCUCACAGCUCCUCACAGUACAGCCCAGUGGAGCGCCUCACUGCUCCUUACAGUACAGCCUAGUGGAGCGUCUCACAGUACAGCCCAGUGGAGAGAGAGAGGGAGAGAGAGAGAGAGAGAGAGAGAGAGAGAGAGAGAGAGAGAGAGAGAGAGGACAAUCACUGACUGUGAAUCAGUGGGAGACUGCUUACAACCUCCCUCUUCUCUCCCUUCACCUCCUCCUCUUCUCCCACUUCUCUUCCUACUCCUCCUCAUCUUCUCCUACUUCUCUUCCUACUCCUCCUCAUCUUCUCCCACUUCUCUUCUUACUCCUCCUCAUCUUCUCCCACUUCUCUUCCUACUCCUCCUCAUCUUCUCCCACUUCUCUUCCUUCUCCUCCUCUUCUCCCACUUCUCUUCUUACUCCUCCUCAUCUUCUCCCACAUCUCUUCCUACUCCUCCUCAUCUUCUCCCACUUCUCUUCCUUCUCCUCCUCCUCUUCUCCCACUUCUCUUCCUACUCUUCCUCCUCUUCUUUCCCUUCUCCUCCUCCUCUUCUCCCACUUCUCUUCCUACUCUUCCUCCUCUUCUCUCCCUUCUCCUCCUCCUCUUCUCCCACUUCUCUUCCUACUCUUCCUCCUCUUCUUCCACUUCUCUUCCUACUCCUCCUCCUCUUCUCCCACUUCUCGUCCUUCUCCUCCUCCUCUUCUCCCACUUCUCUUCCUACUCUUCCUCCUCUUCUCUCCCGUCUCCUCAUCCUCUUCUCCCACUUCUCUUCCUACUCUUCCUCCUCUUCUCCCACUUCUCGUCCUACCCCUCCUCAUCUUCUCCCACUUCUCUUCCUACUCCUCCUCAUCUUCUCCCACUUCUCUUCCUUCUCCUCCUCCUCUUCUCCCACUUCUCUUCCUUCUCCUCCUCCUCUUCUCCCACUUCUCUUCAUACUCUUCCUCCUCUUCUCCCACUUCUCUUCCUACUCAUCUUCUCCCACUUCUCUUCCUACUCCUCCUCCUCUUUUCCCACUUCUCUUCCUACUCCUCCUCCUCUUCUCCCACUUCUCUUCCUACUCCUCCUCCUCUUCUCCCACUUCUCUUCCUACUCCUCCUCAUCUUCUCCCACUUCUCUUCCUACUCCUCCUCAUCUUCUCCCACUUCUCUUCCUACUCCUCCUCCUCUUCUCCCACUUAUCUUCCUACUCCUCCUCAUCUUCUCCCACUUCUCUUCCUACUCCUCUUCUCUCGUUCCUAACUUCACAUUUGUAAGAGCUCCGAUCCACUCAUCUGACAGUGGGGUGCUUGUGAGUCACUCUACUGGGCUUGUGAGGCACUCCACUGGGCUUGUGAGGCACUCCACUGGGCUUGUGAGGGUAGAGGAGAGCAACGUCACAGCAGACAUGAUACAUCCGCAUCUGCUCUGGUCUAAAAAUAUGCUCCACAGGGCACAACUGAAGCUUGUGGAUGGGCUGUGUGAUGGGCUGUGUGAUGGGCUGUGUGAUGGGCUGAGUGAUGGGCUGUGUGAUGCUGCUAGAGGCCUGGCCCACAAUAGAAACUUCUGA